AUUGAACGCUGGCGGCAUGCCUUACACAUGCAAGUCGAACGGUAACAGGUCUUCGGAUGCUGACGAGUGGCGAACGGGUGAGUAAUACAUCGGAACGUGCCUAGUAGUGGGGGAUAACUACUCGAAAGAGUGGCUAAUACCGCAUGAGAUCUACGGAUGAAAGCAGGGGAUCGCAAGACCUUGUGCUACUAGAGCGGCCGAUGGCCGAUUAGGUAGUUGGUGGGAUAGAAGCUUACCAAGCCGACGAUCUGUAGCUGGUCUGAGAGGACGAUCAGCCACACUGGGACUGAGGCACGGCCCAGACUCCUACGGGAGGCAGCAGUGGGGAAUUUUGGACAAUGGGCGCAAGCCUGAUCCAGCAAUGCCGCGUGCAGGAUGAAGGCGUUCGGGUUGUAAACUGCUUUUGUACGGAACGAAAAGCCCUGGGUUAAUACCCUGGGGUCAUGACGGUACCGUAAGAAUAAGCACCGGCUAACUACGUGCCAGCCGCCGCCGUAACAC
rnacentral:rRNA from 1 species